rnacentral:rRNA from 1 species
CGUUUUUAGUUGUUGCAGUUAAAAGCUCGUAGUCGGAUUUUGGCUGAGAACGGUCGGUCCGCCGAGUAGGUGUGCACUGACUGGUCUCAGCUUCCUGGUGAGGAGGUGUGCUUCAUCGCCACUUAGUCACCGUGGUUACUUUGAAAAAAUUAGAGUGUUCAAAGCGGGCUUACGCUUGAAUAUAUUAGCAUGGAAUAACACCAUAGGACUCCUGUCCUAUUUCGUUGGUCUCGGGACGGGAGUAAUGAUUAAGAGGAACAGUUGGGGGCAUUCGUAUUUCAUUGUCAGAGGUGAAAUUCUUGGAUUUAUGAAAGACGAACUUCUGCGAAAGCAUUUGCCAAGGAUGUUUUCAUUGAUCAAGAACGAAAGUUGGGGGCUCGAAGAUGAUUAGAUACCAUCCUAGUCUCAACCAUAAACGAUGCCGACUAGGGAUUGGCGGAUGUUAAUUGAUGACUUCGCCAGCACCUUAUGAGAAAUCAAAGUUUUUGGGUUCCGGGGGGAGUAUGGUCGCAAGGCUGAAACUUAAAGGAAUUGACGGAAGGGCACCACCAGGCGUGGGAGCCUGCGGCUUAAUUUGACUCACUCGGGGAAACUUACCAGGUCCAGACAUAGUAAGGAUUGACAGAUUGAGAGCUCUUUCUUGAUUCUAUGGG